rnacentral:lncRNA from 1 species
UUCUUUCCUUUGUCUAUGGAUGCCUGAUCCAUUUGAUGUGAAAUCACUAAGAUGUCAGGUUACCUUGAGAAAAGGUUGCUUAUGGGAAAAUUCAGUCUUGUUCUUACAUUUUAUCAGUAAAAAUUUUAUGCUUAAUUGAAUCCCUUUGGUACAGUCAAGCCAUAGUUCCUCGGAUUUUUAAAGUUGAUUUCUUUGGCUACCUGUGCCAGGCAUUGUUGUAAUGCUGAAGAAUAAUUUUAUUGAUCAGUGUAUUUUUUGUUCUUUGGAGCUGGAACUGCUCCUUUUUCUGCUUCUAUUCUGUAAGUUCCUGAAUGUUAGACAUCCCCUGAUUGGUAGUUCAUGAAUUGGUUUUUGUAAAGGCUAUAAUUUCUCAUAUAUGUAAAGGUGGGCAACUGAAAGCUACAAAACAAUGUAAUUAUAAGCCAAGUUUGUGCACAGGCUAUUAUGAAACACUUUUUAUGGCCAUUGUGAAUGAUACCC